rnacentral:misc_RNA from 1 species
GAUGAAGAACGUAGCGAAAUGCGAUAAGUAGUGUGAAUUGCAGAAUUCAGUGAAUCAUCGAGUCUUUGAACGCACAUUGCGCCCCCUGGUAUUCCGGGGGGCAUGCCUGUCCGAGCGUCAUUGCUGCCCUCAAGCACGGCUUGUGUGUUGGGCCUCCGUCCUCCUCCCGGGGGACGGGCCCGAAAGGCAGCGGCGGCACCGCGUCCGGUCCUCGAGCGUAUGGGGCUUCGUCACCCGCUCUUGUAGGCCCGGCCGGCGCUUGCCGACACAUCAAUCUUUUUUCCAGGUUGACCUCGGAUCAGGUAGGGAUACCCGCUGAACUUAAGCAUAUCAAUAAGCGGACGA